CUCCUGGAGUCUGAAAUGCAGGGAAGGCCCCAGAGACCAGGGGCGCCGGUGCAGGGCCUGUCUGCUCCUGCCUAGCAGAGGCGGGAGCACGAUGGCAGCAGCGGGAGGAGCAUCGGGCUUGGCUUUGGAGAGAAUAAAGAAUCGCGGAGGCGCCUGCCCACCUCCAGUAGCAGUGGCAGCGGCGGCGGCGGCAGCAGCAACAGCGGCGGCAAGCAGUGCAGCUCUUCUUGUCCUCGCUGGGCUGGGGCACCUAUCCAUCCUCUGGCCAGGCACAAAAUGCAAUCCUCCUGCUGGGUCAUUCAUUUGCCACCCAUGGUUUACCCAAACCCAGCUUUGCCAGUCCCUACUUAUCUCAAGGAGGAAAGAGAAGGAGCCAGGUGACACCCACAUGUGAUCAGUGCUUGGCAGCAGCAACCACCUACUAUUCUUUUCAUUCAUCUUUAUCUCAACUCACUGAUCCCUGGGAAGCCACCAAAACUACAAGCAGGACUCUGUUGAGGGUACCAGCAACAGCAGAUGCCCCAUUAACCCUGCAGGGAAUGGUUGUAGAAUGGUGACUGGACAUGGUCAAGAAGGAACUGAUAGAUUUAAUGAUGGAAGACAUCACAAGCCAUGUAUUAUACCUGAUGGCUUCCUUUCCAGAGUAGGAGACGGGUAUCUCAAUUGUUCUACCAGUAUCGUGUUUGUGCUCUGUUCUUCCAUAUGUGCUGGAACCUCACUUGUGGGUACAGGGGCCUGCACUGACAUAAUGCUAGCCUACAUUUUCUGGGAUCUAGGAUGUGGUGGUCAAGGGCACUCUCAAACUUACCAAUUUACCUCAGGCUAGCAACAGAUAGAGGGCAGAGGGGAGGAAGGCAGUUGCAUCAGCCUCAGGGUCUGACAGGCUUAUAAAGGUCAGUGACUAAAUUCCCUGGUCUCCUGUCCUCACAGAAGCUCACCAAACACAUCCCUCAUUUUAAAUGUUUGCAACAUGUCAGUCACUCCUAGAGGCAGAGCUCACAAAAGGUGCCCCUGGCCCUCCAGCACAACUGGACCCAAAAGAACCAA